GUCAAUAUGACCGGGGAAAUCUGUCGCGGGGAAAUCUGACGGGGUCAAUUUGACGCCCUACCUGAAAAAGGACCUCGUCGUACCCUUCAGUUUGAUUCAAUAUCCUUCAUUCCGGCCAGGGUCACGGUCGAGAUGGAGAAACAGAUUUUAAUGAUUCCGUACCAAGUCUGGGAGACAAAUAUUUAAUACUUUACGAACCUGGUUAUAUAUAUGGAAAACUUAAUGUGUACGUGUUCGAUAAGCCUGAACGAGAAGAUGAAUGAUGUGUGGAUAUUGCAAGAUAAGACUCUGCUCAUCCCAUGGAAAUGUUAGUUGGCGACGGAUUCGAGAAAAUUGGUGAGACAAGAAAAACAGGAGAAUCUAAUCUGCUUAUGAAAACGGGAACACAUGUAGGACACGCCCAGUUUUUAUGAAGGAAAAAAUUAAAAAAAGAUCUAUUUGAAAGUGUAAUGUUGCACUCAUGUCUAUGAAAAAAAUUUAAACAAUAUACACAUUGAAGUAGUCCACUAUAUCCACAACACUCGGCGAGGUCAUCUUGGAAGAGGACAUUGUACUCGGUCCCUUUGUGCGUGAACGGGGUAGAAAUGUCGACAAUUUCUUUGCCGCAAAGAUGACAGUCCGGUCCCAAAGCUUGGUCGUCGUCCCAGUAAAUAAAAUCCAGGUGUUCACAUAUUUCACUAUUUACUUUGUCAGCCAUCCCACCAGUCAAUAAAAUUGAAUUGGUUGUUGGAUGGGCGAGCAAUAUGGCAUCCUCGAUGGACAUCAUUUUUUCACGUUGCAGGUCAAGUUAAUAGUAGAUAGUGCUCCAAAAUCCGUUUCGCCGUCACGAUUUCUUGUUGCAGUUACUGGACAAAUUUCAAAAGUUAAAAAGUGACAAAUGAAAAUUAAAACUGGAACAAUUGACCUGGGAAGGAUCGAAAUUUAUAUAGCGCCAUCGGUCAAAAAAACUAAAAUUUAACCAUAAUUUUCAGGUGGAUGAAACUUGAAUUAAUCAAAAAAAUUCUAGCCCUGCAUUUUAACUCGGACACAAAAAUGGAAUUUGGCGACCCCAUCAAUCAAGCAUCAAUUUCUACCCGUUUUUCUUUACUUGAGUCCAAUAACCCUUGGUCGUGGUGAAAGGAAGUUAAAGAUUAAGCUAUUUAUUUCGCCAAAAUACCUAGUUUUAAAUUCAAAAUUAAGCAGAAACAUGACUUAAAAAACUAUGUAUUUAGUCAAAACUCCAAGCAGUCCGUAUGCGUUAGGUGAUCUGUAAUGGGAGACAGUUUUUUUGCGUUGCAAAACUUUUAAAAUUUCUUUCUGAAAAGUUUCAAAAUACUUUACAAGUAUUUUUAUUUACUACGAGACUUCUUUAACCGUUUCGUGGCACGAGGUAAAGCGCCACGUAAACUUGUAGCUUGAUUAAUUACGAAAAAUACGCAUUGAAAUGGAAAGUUUCAUGGAAAAUUCGAAAAACCAGCGUUAGGCUAAUCAUCAAAAUAAUGAAGUUAAAUCAAAUUCACUUCGUGACCAUAUCAUUCUAGAAAAUAAUGAACUUAUGUAUAAUUUUUCCCUGAUUACUUAAUUUAAUUGACUAGAAUUUUCUUAUUUUCGUAAAUUUGAUCCAAUUAUCUGAACGCUGAAGUAGUACAUAAGUAUUUAUCAAAUUUAGUUUAUCAAACUUUUAAUGAACGAGUUCAUUUCAAAAUGUUUAACCGUUUCAUGGCACGAGGUAAAGUGCCAUGAAAACUUGAACCUUUAUUGCCUAUGAAAAACGAAUUUAAAUGGAAAUUCAUAAAAAAUUUGACAAACUUUCGUUAGGCUCUUCAUCAUAUAAUGAAGUUAUAUCAAAUUCACUUCGUUACCGAUACAGCAGUCUGAGGGGAUGAUCGUUGUGGGGAUGAGGGGACUUGCGGCAAUAUAUUUCUGCAUAGAUACACGAUUCUUUAUUUUGUUUAGCAUUGUUAUUUGACUUUGUGUUCAGUUUAGUUAUAAAAAUAAUAGUUAAUGGCUCGAGGUAAUGUGUCAUAACUUAGGAUUUAGUGGAAUAAUGAAGUCCUUCCGAAAUUGACAAGUUGUAAUUUCAAAAUAAGAUAGGUUGCGAUAGGUCUCUUUUAGGACCCAGGUUGUCCUUUUUAGCUUCGUCUUCGUUGAGAAAUGUUUGAAAGCUGGUACGUUUCAAAUUAGUAUUUCCCUUGUGUAUCUAGAUAUGUGCGAAUAUGUAAAAGCCAAAAUUCUAUUACCAUACAUAUGUACAUAUAUAUCUAGGAAAUAUUGGUUGUUUAGUGUUGGCAAGAAUAUUUGAAUGUUUUUUUUGUACUUUAGGAGCCUUAUCAUUAUAUGUUUUGUCCGUUUGUGAAAUUCUAGGCUUUUUAACGAAUGCUUAAUGAAUAAUGUUAGUAACCUACCCACCAAGAUAAUUUAAAUAUAAUAAUGAAAACAUUAUUUAAUUUUUUUUACUUCAAUGUAAUAUUCCAAAUUGUUAGUGACACGCGGUGAUGUGUCACUAUCAUUUAAUAUGAAAAUUAUGAGAAAUUUGCGUUCUCCUGAUGCUGAGAACAUGUAGGUUUUAUACGAACCUGUUAGGAAACUUAUAUACAAGUUGCUCGGCGAAGCCAAUACCUUGAAUCCGAGCAAAUUGAUUUUUCAUCUUCCAAUUGCAUCCGUCGGGAAUGCAAUAGUUCGAUGAAUAUCUUCUUAUUUAGGCUAUCGGAGUGCUGGCAAUUGAUUUCAGAAAUUACGGUCCUGCUAGAAAAAAAACAUAUUUUGUGUAAUGCAACCUUUGGAACGCUGAUGCAAAUGUGACAUCAGCAUUUCAAAGGUCAAGGGAUUCAAAAUACAUAGAUGUAGUUUUCAUAAGUAUCUCGCCUCUCAUGUGUGUCCAAACCAUAUUGUGUGCAGGAGGAGAUCAUGAAGGGGAAGAGAGGAUAGGAAUGAGGAGCACAGAAUGAUGCCUACGUCAUCAUGAUCAUCAUGAUCAUGAGGGCGUAGUUUGUGCAUAUGUAGCGUAAGUAAAGGCAGUGAUCAAGAAGGCGUGGCUUAUGUGAUCACGUAUAUAUAGAGUAAGCAGAGAGAAGAAGAACGGAGUGUAGUUUUAGAUUCAGGAUCAGCAGGUUAGAUUUAGUGAUCAUCAAGAUCAAGUUCAAGGUUUAAAUCUUCGGAAACUUAAUAAUAAGUUCCUGUCUAGAUAAUUAGUUAAAAUUAAAAUAAUAGCAUUAGCUCUCCCACGUAUUCAUAAUACGAGCAUUUCUGUAAAGUCAAUAUUUUUCAGUCGGUAUUGAUGUAAAUAAAUUUAAUCAUAAUUCUUAUAAAAAAGUGAGUUUCUACUACAAAUUUCUUGCACAACAUCACAAAGAAAAGGGGCAUCCGCGAAAGUGGAUGUGAAUCAGGGCACGCAAUCCCAUAAUAGAAUAGGGAGCGUUACAGUAAUGAUUGAUUGACCACCGUGGGUCAUCUACAUACAUGGAAUUUUUGCUGGUGACACGUGGUACUGUGUUAUUCGCAUUCUUUUGUUAUCAGAAUUACGUAGUUAUUUGAAAGACUAGAAAAUACGUUUUAGAUAUUUAGGUGUUGUACGAAAAUGUUAGGAAACUAAAUACAAGUUGCUCGGCGGAGGAAAGAAUGUUGCAUUAUUUUGUACGUGUGUGUACACAAUAUGUAGUACACAUAUAUUUUCAAUAUAAUGUUCAGUUUAAUAAUUUGGAAAAAGUUUAUAUUUUUUCGGAUGUGAAGUUCUGGUAUUAAAUCACAUCUUUGCGUCAGAUAAGAUUGCGUUUAUGGAUACUUUGAGAUUUGUAUUCAUACUUGGUUAUCGAAGAUGUACGAAUAACACUUCAACAAUUAGUUGUAUAGGUUUAGCAAUACAUUUCAUCGAACACGAUAAUUUGUUCUUUUACUUUUAAAUUAAGUUCAACAUUAAUUGUCUAAAUACAGUAGGAUAAUUAAUUUGUCUUGUGAUAAUGAAAACAUAGAUAUUGUUAAUCUGUGUUAUGUUUUAAAGCUAUUAUUUAAAUUUAAGUGUAUAAAAUUUGAAUAAAUAAUUAUAUUCGUACUAACU